CAAAUUCUAAGAUGAUAAUGAUAUUGAUUAUUGGUGUGAGUUAGUAUUGAAUCGGUGUAUGAUAAAGGCGUGUUAUGAAGAGACAGUGGAAUUCCUUGAUAUUAUUGAUAUUCUGUGAUAUCCCUUGAUAUUCUUCCAUAUUCUUUGAUAUCCCUUAAUAUUCGUUGAUAUUCGUUGACAUUCUUUGACACUCUUUGAUAUUCCUUGAUAUCUUUUCGAUAUUCCUUAAUAUAUUCCUCGAUAAUCCUUAACAUUCCUUGAUGCUCCUUGAGAUUUCUUGGAUUCUUUCCAUCUGAUUGGGAUGAACAACCCUAUGUAUAGGGGACACAAGGUAUACCUGUCUGUGUGAUAGGAGUUGGAUGGGACGCCAUCACUUGUGUGUGUUGUGAUUACAAGAAGGUUAAAAACCUUUAGUAGUGUCUAAUAUGGACACGCAACAUGAAGUUCAUUUGAUCGUAUUGAUCUCCCAGUCACUCUUGUAUUCCAAUGUGACCUAUUUUGAAAAUAUCUUGUUCCUCCGAAAUUCCCAAAGAUUGAUUCUUGGGAAAUGAAGUUUGCAAUUGUGAAGGUUUUGAUUCUCCUAUUUCUUUAACUUUGAAGGGUAUGCCAAAGUUGAGCAAAGGCGGACGAGCAUGUGAUAUUAUGAAGCGUGUACAAUGAUCUUAUAAAUGAUACGUUUUAGUUCUCAUCGCGGAUUCUGAGGACAGAAUCCUUAUAAGGGGGUGGAAUGUAAUAUCCCAUAUUAUUAAAUUUAGAUUUGAUUAUUAUAAAUCUAUUUGUCUAGAUAUUAUUGUUGUCUGUAGUUGAAUAUUGAUGUGAUUAUGUGAAAUAGUUGUAUGUGAUUAUACUUGUUUCAUGGAUUAAUAUGGAUUUUACAGAUUUUUCGUCCUCCUUCUUUCUUUGAUUCCGAGGACGGAAUCCCUAUAAGGAGGGUAGAUUGUAAUGACCCGGAUUUUUAAAAAUUUUUAUUAGUAUUAAAAGUGAUUUUCUUUAAAGAAGGGUCGAUAAUCCCUAAUAUUCUUGAUGCUCCUUGAGAUUUCUUGGAUUCUUUCCAUCUGAUUGGGAUGAACAACCCUAUGUAUAGGGGACACAAGGUAUACCUGUCUGUGUGAUAGGAGUUGGAUGGGACGCCAUCACUUGUGUGUGUUGUGAUUACAAGAAGGUUAACAACCUUUAGUAGUGUCUAAUAUGGACACGCAACAUUAAGUUCAUUUGAUCGUAUUGAUCUCCCAGUCAUUCUUGUAUUCCAAUGUCACCUAUUUUGAAAACAUCUUGUUCUAUUCGAAAAUUCCCAAAGAUCGAUUCUUGGGAAAUGAAUUUUGCAAUCGCGAAAGUGUGAUUUUCCUUUUCCAUUAAAGUCAAAGGUAUGCCAAGAUCAAUCGAAGGUGGAUGACGAUAUGAUAUUACGAAGUGUGUACGUUUUAGUUUCUUCGGAGGAUUCCGAGGACGGAAUCCUUAUAAGGGGGGUAGAAUGUAAUAUCCCAUAUUAUUAAAUUUAGAUUUGAUUAUUAUAAAUCUAUUUGUCUAAAUAUUAUUGUUGGCUUUAGUUGAAAAGUGAAUUGAUUAUGUGAAUAGUUUUAUGUGAUUAUACUUGUUAUGUGGAUUAAUAUGGAUUUUACAGAUUAUGCGUCCUCCUUCUUUCUCUGAUUCCGAGGACGGAAUCCCUAUAAGGAGGGUAGAUUGUAAUAACCCGGAUUUUAAAAAUAUUUUUAUUAAUAUUAUAAAUGAUUUUCUUAAAAAGAAAGGAAUAAGAUUUAAUAUUUUAUUCCAGUUUAAUGAGUUUUCAAG
rnacentral:lncRNA from 1 species